rnacentral:rRNA from 1 species
UACGUAGGGACCAAGCGUUGUUCGGAUUUACUGGGCGUAAAGGGCGCGUAGGCGGCUUAACAAGUCACUUGUGAAAUCUCCGGGCUUAACUCGGAACGGUCAAGUGAUACUGUCGUGCUAGAGUACAGAAGGGGCAACUGGAAUUCUCGGUGUAGCGGUGAAAUGCGUAGAUAUCGAGAGGAACACCUGCGGCGAAGGCGGGUUGCUGGGCUGAUACUGACGUGAGGCGCGAAAGCUAGGGGAGCGAACGGG